rnacentral:rRNA from 1 species
GACGAACGCUGGCGGCGUGCUUAACACAUGCCAGUCGAACGGAAAGGCCCUGCUUUUGUGGGGUGCUCGAGUGGCGAACGGGUGAGUAACACGUGAGUAACCUGCCCUUGACUUUGGGAUAACUUCAGGAAACUGGGGCUAAUACCGGAUAGGAGCUCCUGCUGCAUGGUGGGGUUGGAAAGUUUCGGCGGUUGGGGAUGGACUCGCGGCUUAUCAGCUUGUUGGUGGGGUAGUGGCUUACCAAGGCUUUGACGGGUAGCCGGCCUGAGAGGGUGACCGGCCACAUUGGGACUGAGAUACGGCCCAGACUCCUACGGGAGGCAGCAGUGGGGAAUAUUGCACAAUGGGCGGAAGCCUGAUGCAGCAACGCCGCGUGCGGGAUGACGGCCUUCGGGUUGUAAACCGCUUUCGCCUGUGACGAAGCGUGAGUGACGGUAAUGGGUAAAGAAGCACCGGCUAACUACGUG